GACGAACGCUGGCGGCGUGCUUAACACAUGCAAGUCGAACGAAAAGAGGGAAAGAGCUUGCUCUUUCCGGAAUUGAGUGGCAAACGGGUGAGUAACACGUAAACAACCUGCCUUCAGGAUGGGGACAACAGACGGAAACGACUGCUAAUACCGAAUAAGUUCCAAGAGCCGCAUGGCCCAUGGAAGAAAAGGUGGCCUCUACCUGUAAGCUAUCGCCUGAAGAGGGGUUUGCGUCUGAUUAGCUGGUUGGAGGGGUAACGGCCCACCAAGGCGACGAUCAGUAGCCGGUAUGAGAGGAUGAACGGCCACACUGGAACUGAGACACGGUCCAGACUCCUACGGGAGGCAGCAGUGGGGAAUCUUCCGCAAUGGGCGAAAGCCUGACGGAGCAACGCCGCGUGAGUGAUGACGGCCUUCGGGUUGUAAAACUCUGUGAUCCGGGACGAAAAGGCAGAGUGCGAAGAACAAACUGCAUUGACGGUACCGGAAAAGCAAGCCACGGCUAACUACGUG
rnacentral:rRNA from 1 species